rnacentral:rRNA from 1 species
GAUGAACGCUAGCGGGAGGCCUAACACAUGCAAGCCGAGCGGUAUUUCUUCUUCGGGAGAGAGAGAGCGGCGUACGGGUGCGGAACACGUGUGCAACCUGCCUUUAUCUGGAGGAUAGCCUUUCGAAAGGAAGAUUAAUACUCCAUAAUAUAUUAAUUGGCAUCAAUUGAUAUUGAAAACUCCGGUGGAUAGAGAUGGGCACGCGCAAGAUUAGCUAGUUGGUGAGGUAACGGCUCACCAAGGCAAUGAUCUUUAGGGGGCCUGAGAGGGUGAUCCCCCACACUGGUACUGAGACACGGACCAGACUCCGACGGGAGGCAGCAGUGAGGAAUAUUGGUCAAUGGGUGCAAGCCUGAACCAGCCAUCCCGCGUGAAGGAUUAAGGUCCUAUGGAUUGUAAACUUCUUUUGUAUAGGGAUAAACCUACCCUCGUGAGGGUAGCUGAAGGUACUAUACGAAUAAGCACCGGCUAACUACGUGCCAGCCGCCGCCGUAACAC